rnacentral:lncRNA from 1 species
CUGCAGAAAAAAUUGCAGAACCAUCAACUGUCGACGUGGCUUCAACUAGUUGCUAAUACUGGAAGCAUUUACUAUCUGGUGGAAUCUUGUCCCAUCGCUUGAAGGCAGAUCAAACGUGGGAAGCAUCACCCGUGCUACCUCUCAAAGAAGAAAUGGAGCAUCAAAGCCAGAGAAAUGCAUUAACCAGAGGCAUUCAGGGUUGACAAUUGCAUUGGGAACCUUUUUCUUACGAUGGUUGCAGCCUACAAACCAGAAUUUUUAUACGGAAAAAUAGAAGAGAUGGUAUCAUCAUAAAGUAAUGCAACGGUAUGGAAACUCAAGAGGUAUAUUUGAUAUCACAACAUUUAUUGGCAUACCUUAAAGGUAAGUAAUUUACUUUUCCAAAGCUGACCGUUCUUCAAAUAAGCAGCGUCAUAAUGAGAAGAAGAGGAAAUUGAGCGACUCUACUGCAGAAAAAAUUGCAGAACCAUCAACUGUCGACGUGGCUUCAACUAGUUGCUAAUACUGGAAGCAUUUACUAUCUGGUGGAAUCUUGUCCCAUCGCUUGAAGGCAGAUCAAACGUGGGAAGCAUCACCCGUGCUACCUCUCAAAGAAGAAAUGGAGCAUCAAAGCCAGAGAAAUGCAUUAACCAGAGGCAUUCAGGGUUGACAAUUGCAUUGGGAACCUGUUUUCUUACGAUGGUUGCAGCCUACAAACCAGGUGUUCUUUGAUGCGAAAAUAUCUUGUUACGUAAAUGAAGUUAAAUGCUAACUGAUAUAUGCAUGUAACACAAACCAUAUAUAUGAUAAAUUUUGUACUGCUAUAGAUGUCAUGUUUAUCUCUCCAGGUUAGAAGUUGUUUGCGUGGAGGCUCUCUCUGGCUGAUAAUGAGUUGUAUAAAUAGGCAUUAUCGCAAUCAUUUUGUUCAAAGAUUGUGUAACUACAAAACAAGAACAUUUCAAGUGUUAUUUAGACCUAUUAACAUAUAUAAGUUACAUGUGGUCUAUCUUAAUUAAUUUGGAAUUGGGACAUAGUUAAUCGUUAUGUG